CGGCAGGCUUAACACAUGCAAGUCGAGGGGUAUAGUUCUUCGGAAUUAGAGACCGGCGCACGGGUGCGUAACGCGUAUGCAAUCUACCUUUUACAGAGGGAUAGCCCAGAGAAAUUUGGAUUAAUACCUCAUAGUAUGUGAGAAUGGCAUCAUUUUUACAUUAAAGUCACAACGGUAAAAGAUGAGCAUGCGUCCCAUUAGCUAGUUGGUAAGGUAACGGCUUACCAAGGCUACGAUGGGUAGGGGUCCUGAGAGGGAGAUCCCCCACACUGGUACUGAGACACGGACCAGACUCCUACGGGAGGCAGCAGUGAGGAAUAUUGGACAAUGGGCGCAAGCCUGAUCCAGCCAUGCCGCGUGCAGGAUGACGGUCCUAUGGAUUGUAAACUGCUUUUGUACGGGAAGAAACACUCCUUCGUGAAGGAGCUUGACGGUACCGUAAGAAUAAGGAUCGGCUAACUCCGUGCCAGCAGCCGCGGUAAUACGGAGGAUCCAAGCGUUAUCCGGAAUCAUUGGGUUUAAAGGGUCCGUAGGCGGUUUAGUAAGUCAGUGGUGAAAGCCCAUCGCUCAACGGUGGAACGGCCAUUGAUACUGCUAGACUUGAAUUAUUAGGAAGUAACUAGAAUAUGUAGUGUAGCGGUGAAAUGCUUAGAGAUUACAUGGAAUACCAAUUGCGAAGGCAGGUUACUACUAAUGGAUUGACGCUGAUGGACGAAA
rnacentral:rRNA from 1 species